rnacentral:rRNA from 1 species
UGGGGAAUUUUGGACAAUGGGGGCAACCCUGAUCCAGCAAUGCCGCGUGUGUGAAGAAGGCCUUCGGGUUGUAAAGCACUUUUGUCCGGAAAGAAAACGCCGUGGUUAAUACCCGUGGCGGAUGACGGUACCGGAAGAAUAAGCACCGGCUAACUACGUGCCAGCAGCCGCGGUAAUACGUAGGGUGCAAGCGUUAAUCGGAAUUACUGGGCGUAAAGCGUGCGCAGGCGGUCCGCUAAGACAGAUGUGAAAUCCCCGGGCUUAACCUGGGAACUGCAUUUGUGACUGGCGGGCUAGAGUAUGGCAGAGGGGGGUAGAAUUCCACGUGUAGCAGUGAAAUGCGUAGAGAUGUGGAGGAAUACCGAUGGCGAAGGCAGCCCCCUGGGCCAAUACUGACGCUCAUGCACGAAAGCGUGGGGAGCAAACAGGAUUAGAUACCCUGGUAGUCCACGCCCUAAACGAUGUCAACUAGUUGUCGGGUCUUCAUUGACUUGGUAACGUAGCUAACGCGUGAAGUUGACCGCCUGGGGAGUACGGUCGCAAGAUUAAAACUCAAAUGAAUUGACGGGGUC